UUUGGGCUUUAUAUGCUAGACUGGUGGGAGCGUUGUCUUUUCAAUAUCUUGGUGAUUGUACUUCUGUGGUUUGUACUCUACAACUGGUCACGACAUGUUAAUGAAUUCCUCAAGAGGUCUGUAUGGUGAGAAUGAGAGAAUCAUUCUCUUUAGGAAGGUGCCGAUGUGGAUUUUGAUGCUGAUGCGAGAUUCGAGAUGUUUAAGUAUAUUGCAGCUGCACCUAUAUCUAGAUAUUCUUGGUAUUCAUAGUUUUACUUAUCUAGGUAAGCUAAGCCAAUAAGUAGCGGCCAUGUGAAUCUGCGAUAAGGACUCAGACUCAUUUGACAUGUGGAAGUCAGCUUUUGGGGUGUUCGACAAUCUCUAAACCAUGGUUUCAGAAGCACUUUUAUGUAAAACGAGACAAAUUCCUUCAUAUAUUUAUUUCGUAAACCGUAAAAGCACUUCUGAAACCAUGAUUUGGUUUUAUCCAAACACUCUCUAGAA